AACGAGGCCGACCUGCGGCUGAGUUACCUGCGGAGGGAUCAUUACCGAGUUUACAACUCCCAAACCCCUGUGAACAUACCACUUGUUGCCUCGGCGGAUCAGCCCGCUCCCGGUAAAACGGGACGGCCCGCCAGAGGACCCCUAAACUCUGUUUCUAUAUGUAACUUCUGAGUAAAACCAUAAAUAAAUCAAAACUUUUAACAAUGGAUCU
rnacentral:misc_RNA from 1 species